CGACAGACUUAUGCCCAGCAUUCUAUUCUUGCAUUUCUUUCGGAACUCAGGAACACGUGUACCCGAAAGCAACCCCCCGUAGGCGCCGUUUAAGCCGGCCAGCGAGGAAGGAACAGACAGCUCAGCGGCGGAAAUAGACCCCCGGAAGCCUUCCGAGGUCUAGGGAGGCGCAUGCGUGCUAGCGUCCUUGGGCCGGCGUGGACGGAUCUGAUGUGCUGCCCGACUUACGGUUCCGGCUGUGCCCCGCUGCUGUCGCGGAGCGCUUCCUGCUUCUUUCCGUUGGUGCCAGCGCGGCCCGCCGCCUACCCAAUGCCUUUUCUCUCGCGCGCGGAGUUCCCGGCCCGUACUCUUCUACCCCUCAGGGCAGCGGCGCACUUGCCACCGUCUCAGUGAGGCUGUUUUUCCGCAGUCGCCUGUCGGCACCGAGUAGUAGGUGGGUGUUAACAGCCCUGGCCCGGGGUUCUGUCUGGCAGACUCGGCUGGACCCCACCGCCUCCUUGUGAUAAAGCCGAGACCAGCCCUGUUUGCUAACAGAGACCAUGGAAACCACAGCACUUGGCGCCCCGUCGUCGACAAACAAUACAAAAAAUUUACUGGCUUGGAGAUAAGGUGUUGGGGACAAGCGUGCAUUUGUGAACAUGUCGAUUUUUUUUUUCCUACAGUCUUUGCUUGUUUCCUUUUAAGCAUUAUUCCAAACGAUGCACAAAACAGAAAUAAUUUGAAAAUAUUUUUAAUUGUGUUCCUGGCGUGGAAAGGGAUUAAAUUUGCACCCUCUGAGAUACGUUGCCAUCAUCAACUUCAAUAAGCCCUCGAUAGGCUCAUUUAGUUUGUAACAAAGGCUACAAACUAAAAUAACGAAUAUCAUAAAAUCCUUUGAAGAAAUGUAUUGGCCCAUCUAUAGUCUCCAGAUGUCAAUUAAAAGACUGUAGAUCCCUAUUUAGAUAAUACCUUAACCUGUCUAGUUUAGACCUAGUCCUAAAAUUAGGAGCUAUUUGCGUGGACAUGCUGGACUGUUUCUCCUUUAUUACAAAAUAUUAACACGGAUUUUUUUCUUUAGUCCAUAAGGAUGUAAUUUAGCUUUAUGUUUUUGAAGCAGGUCUGGUGCAAUUAUGAAGAUCAUGACAAAGUAAAAGGAAAAAACCCACCCUCCAUUCCUCACAUUGAACCAACAUUAAUAUGUUCGCUUGUUUGGCUUUUUUUCAUAUGAAAUAUUAAAUUGUCUUGCUUUCAUGUAAAACGUGACAGUCUGCUUUUACGUGUAAAGUAUUCAACUUUUAUGUAAUUCUGGUUUCAAGAAAACAUUUUUUUAUAUCUUCACCAUUUCCCUUAUUACUAGAUUUCCAGAUUGUUUCAGUUUUGCAAUAUUGCAUAUUAACGUUUGGAGUUACCCUUUCUCACUGUUAUGCAUAUAUAUUAGUGAUUUUUUAAAAUAGGCUUAUAUUUUAAAUUUGGCUUCUUGCUGAGGGCAGCAAAUACUCCGGUAUAAUGACAGUAGGGUGAUUAAGAGAGUAGGAAAGCUAGAAAGAGAGCUUGUGGAAUUUGAAUUGCAUUAAAAAUUGCUGGACAGUAAGUUGAGGGGGAGGAGUGACGGAUGUGAUUUAAUUUGUCUUAGAAUGUUCACUUGGCUGCUUUCUGGAGAGAAACUCCGGAGGCUCAGAGGAGGAAAGGAGGAAUCCAAUUAGAAAGUAUUUUAGUAAUUCCAGUGAGAGAUGAUGUUUGCUUAGACCAGUGUCUAAAAGGGAAAAAGUGUUUUGAUGCUUACGUAUUUUGAAGGUAUAGGUUAUUAUUGUAUGUGGGAUGUCAGAGAAAGCAACUUAAAAUGUUUUUCUUUUAUUCAUUUUUUUUACCACUGGGGAUUGAAUUCAGGAGCACUUUAUCACUGAGCUACAUCCUCAGUUUCUUUUAAUUUUUUAUUUUGAGAGAGUUGUUGUUUAGGGCCUGGCUAAAUUGCUGAGGCUGGCCUCCAACUUGCAAUCCUCCUGCCUCAUCCUCCCAAGUUGCUGGGAGUACAGGUGUGGGCCACCAUGCCUGGUUGCAACUUUAAUUUUUGGCUUGAGCAAUUGGAUGGAUGCAAUUUCUAUUUAACUGAGAUAGACUAAAAGAGAACAUUUUGGGUGAGGGGACACUGAAGAGUUCUUCAGUCAUGUUUUGUGUUGCAGAAUCUAUUAGAAGUCUAAUUGAAAAUUUGAUCUUUCGACUAUUGUUACUGAGGAAUCUAUUUGUCUUUUCAUUUUUUUUUUUUUGCUAUAAAUACAGUAUCUUGAUUCUCUGUUAUUAGGUGUGUAUAUGCUUAUGAAUGUUAUGUCUUCCUUGUGAGGUGAUCCUUUUAUUAUAAAAUGUACCUAUUGUAAAGGUCGGGCGAACUUCGGAGGAAAAGACCACCAAGAGACUGUCUCAUGCAACAGCAAAGGGUUUAUUGGGGAUCCAGCAUGCUGGGGCUCAGAGCUCACUUCAGAGGAGCAAAGAACCAAGAGCCCCGAGAACAACUUAAGCAGAGUUUAUAUACAUUCUUUGGAGAGGGCAGGGACUUUACAUACAUCAUAGCAUCCCUUAGCAAAUCAUCACAUACUGCGGGAAAAUCAAAUAACAACUCUAAACAUGAUUAGCACAUUCACUGCGGGAACAGGUCGGGUGGGGGUGAUUGGUCAGUACUAAGAAGGGGU
rnacentral:lncRNA from 1 species